rnacentral:lncRNA from 1 species
ACUUCAAUAAAAAAAAAUGGGAAAUAUUUGUCUAUUGACUCUAAUUAUCCAAACAUUUUUCUUGGCAGGUAGAUUCCCAUGACCAUUAAGCAAUUUUUAAAAUCAGUUAUAGAGGCUUGAAGGCACAAUACUUAACACUGUCUGGCAAGAUUACCUGCUAUGAGCUUUGAGGCUUUUUAAAGCAAAACCGUAUCCAUUUACUCAAUAGAUAAUAAUGACGAUGAUGACAGCAGCACAGGGUGACCAUCCGUUGCUCCCUAUGAUUGUUACAUCUUGAAUAGGAACAGGGCCCAGAAGCUGAAAGUAACCAGGGAUUUAGCAUUCUAUUCUCAGAGGAUCCUUGGGAAUAAACAGGACUGUGACAAGCAACUGUACACACAUCAAACACCCAGUGACCCGAGUGU